AUGGGCAUCUCGUUCCAAUUGAUUUUUCUAGAUUACAAUGGGAUUUGGGGGUGUCGGCAAGUUUCCAACAGAAGUAAGUUGUGUACCAGUAACAUAUGCGUUGGUAGUUUGGCAUUAAAUUGCUAUGAGGUCUACCUCUGUUCUAGAUUGAUUCACAAAGACCUGCCUGCUGCCUUCCUUCCAAAGGGUUUAGUAACAGUAUGUGGCAACGGAGCUUUUGUGCUUACUAAUCUUGCAGGCCGUGUCGUGCCACCAUUCCGUAAAAGAGACGUUGUAGCUGGCAGGAAGGGUCAGAGCAGCUUCAAACUUGUAUGUUGCGGAAGUUGUUGCCAUGCAUGGGUUGUAAAUUGCAGAGGAAUAAGCAUACGAGAAAAAUACUGUGAGGAUAUAUAUAAUCAAAAUGGUAAGUGGUGA
rnacentral:rRNA from 1 species